rnacentral:rRNA from 1 species
GACGAACGCUGGCGGCGUGCCUAAUACAUGCAAGUCGAGCGAAUCAUUAGGAGCUUGCUCCUGAUGGUUAGCGGCGGACGGGUGAGUAACACGUGGGCAACCUGCCUGUAAGACUGGGAUAACACCGGGAAACCGGUGCUAAUACCGGAUAAUUCUUUCCCUCACAUGAGGGAAAGCUGAAAGUCGGUUUCGGCUGGCACUUACAGAUGGGCCCGCGGCGCAUUCGCUAGUGGGUGAGGUAACGGCUCACCAAGGCGACGAUGCGUAGCCGACCUGAGAGGUUGCGCAGCCAAACUGGGACUGAGACACGGCCCAGACUCCUACGGGAGGCAGCAGUAGGGAAUCUUCCGUAAUGGACGAAAGUCGGACGGAGCAACGCCGCGUGAGUGAUGAAGGCCUUCGGGUCGUAAAACGCUGUUGUUAGGGAAGAACAAGUAUCGGAGUAACUGCCGGUACCUUGACGGUACCUAACCAGAUAGCCACGGCUAACUACGUGCCAGCAGCCGCCGUAAUAC